CCCGCGUGUGCGAUGAAGGCCUUCGGGUUGUAAAGCACUUUUGGCAGGGAAGAAACAGCCUGGGCUAAUACCCUGGGUCAAUGACGGUACCUGCAGAAUAAGCACCGGCUAACUACGUGCCAGCAGCCGCGGUAAUACGUAGGGUGCAAGCGUUAAUCGGAAUUACUGGGCGUAAAGCGUGCGCAGGCGGUUCGGAAAGAAAGGUGUGAAAUCCCAGGGCUUAACCUUGGAACUGCACUUUUAACUACCGGGCUAGAGUACGUCAGAGGGGGGUAGAAUUCCACGUGUAGCAGUGAAAUGCGUAGAGAUGUGGAGGAAUACCGAUGGCGAAGGCAGCCCCCUGGGAUG
rnacentral:rRNA from 1 species